CCUACGGGUGGCAGCAGUGGGGAAUAUUGGACAAUGGGGGCAACCCUGAUCCAGCCAUGCCGCGUGUGUGAAGAAGGCCCUCGGGUUGUAAAGCACUUUCAGUGAGGAAGAACGCCUGGUGGUUAAUACCCAUCAGGAAAGACAUCACUCACAGAAGAAGCACCGGCUAACUCCAUGCCAGCAGCCGCGGUAAUACGGAGGGUGCGAGCGUUAAUCGGAAUUACUGGGCGUAAAGCGCGCGUAGGUGGCUUGAUAAGCCGGUUGUGAAAGCCCCGGGCUCAACCUGGGAACGGCAUCCGGAACUGUCAAGCUAGAGUGCAGGAGAGGAAGGUAGAAUUCCCGGUGUAGCGGUGACAUGCGUAGAGAUCGGGAGGAAUACCAGUGGCGAAGGCGGCCUUCUGGACUGACACUGACACUGAGGUGCGAAAGCGUGGGUAGCAAACAGGAUUAGAUACCCUAGUAGUC
rnacentral:rRNA from 1 species